rnacentral:piRNA from 1 species
UAGAGUACACCUGGGCAGCUCUA